rnacentral:rRNA from 1 species
CCCUUAGAUGUUCUGGGAUGCACGCGCGUUACACUGAUUCGUUCAACGAGUUUAUGACCUUGCCUGAUGAGGUGGGGGAAUCUUUUCAAAUCGCAUCGUGAUGGGGAUAGAGUAUUGUAACUGUUAGUCUUCAACGAGGAAUUCCUAGUAAGUACGUGUCAUCAGCUCGUACUGAUUAUGUCCCUGCCCUUUGUACACACCGCCCGUCGCUCCCACCGAUUGAGUGCUCAGGUGAAUAGUAUGGACUGCAUCAGUGUUCGGUCUCCGAAUGUUGACGCGAGAAAUUCUGUGAAGCUUAUUGCUUAGAGGAAGGAGAAGUCGUAACA